UGCCAGCCGCCGCGGUAAUACGGAGGGUGCAAGCGUUGCUCGGAAUCACUGGGCGUAAAGCGAGCGCAGGCGGUCCUGCAAGUCGGGUGUGAAAGCCCAGGGCUCAACCCUGGAACUGCAUCCGAAACUGCCGGACUUGAGUACGAGAGAGGGAAGCAGAAUUCCUGGUGUAGAGGUGAAAUUCGUAGAUAUCAGGAGGAAUACCCGUGGCGAAGGCGGCUUCCUGGACCAAUACUGACGCUGAGGCGCGAAGGCGUGGGUAGCGAACGGGAUUAGAUA
rnacentral:rRNA from 1 species